rnacentral:rRNA from 1 species
AUGUGUGAUGCUAGUGAUUAUGUUGUAGGUGUUGUUCUAGGACAAAGAGUUGAUAAGAAAUUAAAUGUUAUCCAAUAUGCUAGUGAAACUCUAGACAGUGCCCAGAGAAAUUAUGCUACCAUUGAAAAAGAAUUUUUAGCAGUUGUAUUUGCUUAUGGUAAGUUCAGACCUUAUAUUUUUGAUUCCAAAGUAAUUGUUCACACUGAUCAUGCUGCUAUUAAAUACAUUAUGGAAAAUAAAGAUGCUAAACCUAGACUUAUUAGAUGGGUUCUCUUGCUACAAGAAUUUGAUUUGCAUAUUAUUGAUAGAAAGGGAGAUGAGAACCCUGUUGCAGACAACUUGUCUAGUUUAGAAAAUGCUCUUGAUGACCCACUACCUAUUGAUGAUAGCUUUCCUGAUGAACAAUUGGCUUUCAUAAAUGCUUCUCAUACUACUCCAUGGUAUGCUGAUUAUGCUAAUUACAUUGUUGCUAAAUUUAUACCACCUAGUUUCACAUACCAGCAAAACAAAAAAAUCUAUGAUUUAAGACAUUACUUUUGGGAUGACCCACACCUUUAUAAAGGAGUAGAUGGUGUUAUUAGAUGUUGUGUACCUAAGCAUGAACAGGAACAGAUCCUACGCAAGUGUCACUCCGAGGCAUAUGGAGGCACCACGCUCGAGAUAGAACUGCACAUAAGGUAUUGCAAUCCGGUUUUUAUUGGCCUACUCUUUUAA